GCAUAAAUAGUAUAUUAAAUAUAUUGGGUUUAGAUUCCAAAGAAAUUGUUUUAUGUU
rnacentral:tRNA from 1 species